GUUUUUGUAGUUGAUAUA
rnacentral:tRNA from 1 species